rnacentral:rRNA from 1 species
UACGAAGGGGCUAGCGUUGUUUCGGAAUCACUGGGCGUAAAGCGCAUGCAGGCGGAUUUGUUUAAGUCGGGGGUGAAAUCCCGAGGCUCAACCUCGGAACUGCCUUCGAUACUGGCAAUCUUUGAGUCCGGGAGAGGUGAGUGGAACUGCGAGUGUAGAGGUGAAAAUUCGUAGAUAUUCGCAAGAACACCAGUGACGAAAGGCGGCUCACUG